rnacentral:rRNA from 1 species
UACGUAGGGGGCGAGCGUUAUCCGGAUUCACUGGGCGUAAAGGGAGCGCAGGCGGCACGGCAAGUCCGGUGUGAAAGCCCGGGGCCCAACCCCGGGACUGCACUGGAAACUGCCGGGCUGGAGUGUCGGAGGGGCAGGCGGAAUUCCUAGUGUAGCGGUGAAAUGCGUAGAUAUAGGGAGGAACACCGGUGGCGAAGGCGGCCUGCUGGACGACGACUGACGCUGAGGCUCGAAAGCGUGGGGAGCAAACAGG